CGUCCGGGCGGAUCAGUUCCUAAGUCAACCUCAAGCGGAGAAGGUCGUGUUUGGCUCUUCCAUAGUAUUUUAUUUAGUUUUGUUACAAAUCGGGGUGUUACUCUUGUUCUUAAUUUAUUUUUUCAAUCCGCAAUUCUGCUCGGAUCGUCAGGAAACACGAGCCAGAUACAGUCUCACCGUUUGAGGUGGCUAUGGGACGGGUGGUCAUGGAGAGGCUGUCCAUGGACACUGGGCAUACAUCUAAGAAGUCAAGAUACCCCACACACUGGUCCUAGUACCUGCCAUCAGUUUGGUUUGUAAACUGUAUCGAGCCAAAAUAUUUUAUUAUCUUUGGAAAUAGGAACUUUUCAAAGAGAAAAAAUAUUUUAUGGAAGUUUAUAGUUAAUUAGAUUAUAGAGAAUGUGCUCUAAUAAUUUCAGAAUAGAUUUGUAGCAUCACUGGAAUGACUUUUGAGCAGUAAUUCAUGAAUCUAUAUGAUUUUUGUAAUAUUCUCAAAUGUGAUAUUAGAUUGUGGCAUUUAAUAUUUUAUUAUAAGGAUGUUAUAUAAGAUACAAGGAUCUCAAAUUGUAGAUUAAUGGCGUGGAUUUUUGAUAUAGAUAUAUAUAUAUAUAUAUAUUGACGAAAAUGUUAAUUCACAUUGAAUUUUGUACAUUAUACAUUAUCUUAUAGAUGACAAGAUGAGUUACGAGAGUAUCGUGAAAAUAAAUAUCUUUGAAAAAAAAAUGAUUUUCUUCAUAAUCUGCCAGUAUCAUACAUCGUAUUAAUACUAUAAAUCCUUUUCAGUAUGGCAUUCAUCCUAGAAAUCUUUGAGCGAGAGAACGAUAGACGAAUGUCGAAGCAAUUGGUUAUCGGCUGUGACGUUGGCCUAUCUAUAACCUGUAAAAAUGAGGUGCGGUGAGACGUUAAGAUUUGUAUCGAAAGGGAGAGGGGUUAGUCUUUGUUUUUAGAAGGUCGUGUAAGGCGCACUUUGGUCGAAAUGUGUGGUGGCAUAACGCACGUACGCAUCAUAUCUUCGCACCUUCGGCACACAACCAAGUUGCGCGAGUCUUCUCAAAACCUUCAGCGCGCGAUGCACAAGGUUCACUGCAAGGCAGAGAACUCGUACCACUGUCUGGUGAGCUCUUUCGUAUUGCCAACGACCCUUGUAACGUGUUUCUUCAGAUUCGGAACAUUUCUACUGAACGUGGAAGAUUCUCAAAAACCCCUCCAGUGCUUGCGCUGCUAAUACCAGUUUACUCUGAUCAUUGACAUGAUGUAAAAUCGACUAUGCCAGUAUCCAAUCAACCUGAUCGAUAUGUUCGGUUAGCAUAAGUUUUGAGGUAUGAUGAUUCGUAAUGCAUGUCAGUAAUUAAAGCAAAGAAAUAUGAGAGAAAUGAUCGAUGAUAAAUAUGAGUAGUUAAAGCAAUUUCAUGCAGAUUCAUGAACAAAGAAUAGCUAUGGGUACUACUAACAAAGCAAAUGGUGCAAAAAUUUUUAUAUUUUUCUAUGCUCUUUUGGUCUGUGUGCGCAAUAAUUAUUUUCACAGAUACGAUGUGAUCCUGAAAGAAAAUUAUCCCUAGAUGGCAUAAAGGUACCCUGUAUAUCAAUAUUUUUAUGAUAUUAGGGAUGGAAUUUGUGCGUUCUGUUUUCUAGAUUAAAUGGAAGCAUGGUCAAUAGAAUCAAUCUUACUGAGAUGUACAAAACAGGAAUUGAUUGAAGAAAGAAGGUAUCCCUUACAAGUAUUAGAUGAUAUUACAAACUGACAUGUAUGAAUAGAAGGACAGGGGGCAGGUGUAUGUUGAAAUUUUUUCACUGCAAAGUUCUAUUCCGCUAUGUGGAUUUUUCAUUCUUCACUCUAAUGAUGGAGAUAGGAUUUAGCAAUGAUGAGAACUGCUUUGGAUGGAAAAAGUUGCUGGAACAUGAUAGAAAGUUUUUAUACGUUGUUUGAUCAAUGCAAUUUUGUUUUAAGCCCUGAGGAAAAUUAUUCUAAUAUUGGAAAUUGUCACAAUUAAUAAGUGCAAAUACAUUGGAUUUUUGAAUACAAAACAGUAUCAAGAAUAUUGGAAAAAGGCUGGCUGGCUUGAAAGAAAUUUGCUUAUUAAUAUGAAUAUAUGUUUUAAGAUGUAUAUUCUGUUGUGAGGCUUCUUUUGGGGCUGUUCUGUUUUUCACAGUUUUCAUACAAAAAUUUUAAUGCUCUGGAAGAUUGCUGGAAUUGUAUAUAACGCUCGUAUAAUCUCAAUGUCUGGCUUAAAUGGGGAAAAGGUAUGUUGGAGAUCCCAGAUUAUUCACAUUCUUAUUCCAGUUACUACUAAUCAGCCCCAAAGAUCACAAGCACAUGGCUUUGGAUUUCGACUGGAUUCUGGCAUAUUACAAUUGCUGAUCAUGUAUUUGUAAGCAAACUUUACAUAAUGCAUAUGUUUGUACAUAGUCGGAUGUGCAAUGUUGAAAAAUUUAUUACUAUAAUUUAAGCUUACGUAUUUGACCGUUUGGAAAGAGUUUAUGUGAUAAGGGUGGGCAAAACAAAAUGUUGUUCUGAGCUACAGGAAUGUUGCUGUAUGUUUCGUGCAAUAACUAAAUGGAGAAGACUCAUUUGGAUACAUCUCUACAACAUAACAAGAUAUAUUAUUGAGCAAGAGAGAAUAUUGAAUACUAUUUAAUGAAUUCAUACUAAAAGAAAAGUAGAAAAACACAUUUAUUACAUAGCAAUGAUUUUUUGAUUUUUUUCUUGCUCACCAAAAUUUAAAGAACAGGUUCCUGCACUGCACGCUGAUAUCAUAUGAUAACACAUCUACAAUAUUUAUUCAUCAUUUGAAUAGAACUUUAAACAAAAUAUUAAGGAAAUGGAUAUUGUAAGAAUUUAUAUCUUCAAGUAUCAUAGUUUUUAAUAAGAUGCUGAAUUAUGCACAUUUCCCCAUGAGGUAUUCUUGUGAUAUCAGCCAAAGCAUGUGCAGCAUGGUAGUCUACUUCAGAACGCAUUGUACCUAGCCAAUGGAAGAUUAGAAUAUAGCUAUUUGAGAAAUGCAUUCCUUGAAACUGCUAAUGGGUGGAAAAUUUCUUCAUGGGAUGCAGAUGUUAACAUAUCCAUUGAACGCAUAUAUAUCCAACAACUACUAUUCCAUCAGAAGAUAAUACUGCACAGAACAUCCAUCCGUAUGUAUCACGUAGAAAAAAACAUUCAUUAUUUAAAUUUUACAUCAUCAUCUAAGGAAGGAUAAGGCAAUCUCAUACCAAAAUAGAUAGCUUGUACAAUUGCAACAAUUUUAUUAUUUAACAAGCUAUAGUAAUAUAAUUUACAAGACCCAUCAAUAUUGGAGUAAAAUAUUCUGAGACAAAAAAUUCAAUUAUAACCAAGUAUAAGAGAUCAUUUUCAGAUAGAAAUAUUUCCCAGGUAAAUAGUAGAUAUUGCGGGAUAUAUUAAUAUUUUUCUUACAGGAAAAUGCUUGAGAUUAAAAAUAACAUUAUUUCUUUAGAUAAAAGCGAUAUGGAAGAAGUAUAUAAAGUGAUGAAUUUUAUUUUUGCUGCAAUGAUUUAUUGAUCGCUUUCGUUAAACGUAUAGAAUAUGAAAAUGAUAUGAUAUUAUUACAGAUUUGCUAUUAUGAAAUAGGAAUUUUAAUUUGCUUAUGCUAUAGCCAGGCAAUUUACAAAGAUGUAAUUUAAAACAUUUAUAUAUUAUAUAAUAUUUUAAACAUAUUAUAUAAUAUUUAAACAUAGGAAGAGGAAUAUUGGAGAGUGUAGGUUGUGUGAAAUUAGUGCAUUCGUUCGUUAAUAUUUCACUACGCUAUUACGUGAGAAAAUUCUUUGAUACCAAAUAUGUGUGAUAAAACCAAGUUUUGUGUAAUGCAAUAACACAGUAUACAUCAAGCUCAAGAUAAUGUGCAUCAAUAUUGCUAAAUUUGGGUGAAAUAUUAAGUUUGAUAGCUAUAUACGUUCAGUCUUAAAUAUAUAUAGGGUAAUUGAUGCAGUAUGACAAUUCAAAUCUACCAACACAAUUUAAUGAAUGAUGCUUAAUAUUAAAUUCUAUGGCUGGAAAAGGUAGAAAUAUUGUAGAAAUUGCUUUUGAUGCUAGCAAACUUUGGUGAGUGAAUUUCGUGAGUUAUAUUUUUUUAAUUAAAAAGAGAGGACACUAAAUUUUAAUGGCUGUAUUGAUUGAUAUGCUGUUUAAGUGCUGUGUAUUGCGCUUUUGAAACAUUUCAUUGAUUCUAAACUAUACAUUGUACAAUAAUUGGUUACUUUGCUUAAAAAAUUAUUGUACUGCUAUAUCAGUGUAUUGAAAAGUUUAAUAAAUUGUUUAGAAAUUUUGGGAAGGGAAGGGGUGGGAGGGAGGGGGUACUAAUAAUUUGAAGAUUCAAUAGCAUUUCAGAUAGCAUCACUUAUAUGCGAUAUAGAAAAAUUGUCUAGCAUUGCAAGUUGUCCUUCUAGGAUCAAGAAAAUGCAUGAGAUGGCAAAUGCACUACCCUAAAUAGUAAAGGAAAUACCUAAUUUCUAAUAUUUCAUUGUUUCUAUGAUGCUAAGAUAACGCUUCUCUCUGAUUCUUUAAAAGCAGUGUUAACGGAGGUAUUUCUUCAACAAAAAUCAUUUUAUUUAACGUACUGUAAAAAGUAGAAUUGGUAAUUUUUCUCCUAGAUCAUAUUUUAUAAUUUGUGUAAAAGCAACAAAUAUUAACUUGCAACCAAUUGAGAUAUAACAUCCACUUGAUUAAAAAUCAUAGCACUUCAUCAAAAUAUUAUGAAAUAUUAUAAAAAUUCAAUACAGGAAGAAAAAUACAAAAAUCAUUAACACUUAAUCAAUAUUGAAAAGUGCUAUCAAAAGUUUAAUACAGGAAGAAAAAUACAAAAAUCACAUUAUAGCACUUCAUCAUUAGAAAAGUAUUAAGAAGUUGAAGGGUUCAAUGCAGGAAGAAAAACAACAUGGGUACACUAUCAAAAGUAGCAAUAAUCCAUGCAGUUUAUAUUAAUGAAAAUAUAAAAUAUGAAGGAACGUGUAUUUAUUUUAUAAAAGCAGCUGACAUAUAUUUCUGAAGAUUAUGAAGAGAUUAUGUUGAUUUAUGAAGAUAAUGAUUAAGAAGAUUACGAAGAUUAUGAAGAUUAUGAAGAUUAUUUAAAUUAUAUAUUGAUUUAUGUCAUUUAUGAAGAUUAGUUAGAAACACAAGAAAUUCGAUAUUUCCGGUAAUGUUUUUUGAUAAAAAUUAUAGGGUCAUGAUUUGGAUGCACCUGAUUGGGAGCUUCGUUAUACGUGAGUUAUGCUUCGUACUCUCCACAUUUGUUAAUCAGCUAUUUUUAGAGGCCACGUACGGUUGUAAAAAAAAAAAAAUAAGACUGCGAAUGAAGAUUAUUGGAAGAUAGUCGAUCGCGAUUUUCUCAGGACAUCAGUACUCGUUAAAACUCAAAAUAAAUCUAGUAAAAGGAUUCUUGAAAACAUCGAUGGUGUCCCAAUGCCCGAUCGACUAGAGGAUGGGAUUGGUCGUCGAAUUACUAUGACAUCGGCAGUCUACUAAUUUUGGAAGAGGUCUUCUUCAUUUGGCAUCAUCUUGGGUUAUACCUUCAUAGUCAAACUUUUAGCAGCUGAUCAUUAAGAUGAUCCUACACAGAAAGAGAAACUUACAGGAGCGUUCAUGGAGUAUAGCUCUGGAGAAUCUUCUAGAAGUGCAUUCGUUUGCGGUAUUGCAGUUGGUGAAUACAUCGACUAUCGAAGAAUGAGAACAGGAUCUACUUAUGGCGUUUGCAAUUUUCUGUCUUCUUUGAUCUUACGAUUUUUCCUGUACGCGAUUAGAGGCGAUGAUUUUCAAUUGACCAACAUCUUUAAAAACAGGCCUUGGGAUGAUCCAGAGUUCCAGCAAAACAGCCUCUUUUUUCAUUUUAAAAGAUAUUUUUUUUAUAAUUCAUCGGAGACUUCCAGCUCAUUGAAGAUAGAAUUUUUUCGACAUUCGUUUUCUUUUUAACUUUUGUUUGCUGUUACUUUUUAGUACUUUUCACAUCUUUAACAUUUUCGAUGCCAUAAAUGCAUUAAUUCGCUCUGCAUUGUCGGCUCUGUAAUAUGUCACUUAUACAGAAAGCAUGUAUAUAUAUUUUAGUUUAAACUUAA